rnacentral:rRNA from 1 species
AGUGAACGCUGGCGGUAGGCCUAACACAUGCAAGUCGAACGGCAGCACAGUAAGAGCUUGCUCUUACGGGUGGCGAGUGGCGGACGAGUGAGGAAUACAUCGGAAUCUACUUUUUCGUGGGGGAUAACGUAGGGAAACUUACGCUAAUACCGCAUACGACCUACGGGUGAAAGCAGGGGAUCUUCGGACCUUGCGCGAUUGAAUGAGCCGAUGUCGGAUUAGCUAGUUGGCGGGGUAAAGGCCCACCAAGGCGACGAUCCGUAGCUGGUCUGAGAGGAUGAUCAGCCGCACUGGAACUGAGACACGGUCCAGACUCCUACGGGAGGCAGCAGUGGGGAAUAUUGGACAAUGGGCGCAAGCCUGAUCCAGCCAUACCGCGUGGGUGAAGAAGGCCUUCGGGUUGUAAAGCCCUUUUGUUGGGAAAGAAAAGCAGCAGGUUAAUACCCCGCUGUUCUGACGGUACCCAAAGAAUAAGCACCGGCUAACUUCGUG